UGGGAUGUAGCUCAGUGGCAAAGCGCUUGCCUAGCAAGUGCAGCGUCCUGGGUUCGAUCCCCAGUACCAA
rfam:Dipodomys ordii contig_59014, whole genome shotgun sequence.